AACCUGGUUGAUCCUGCCAGUAGUCAUAUGCUUGUCUCAAAGACUAAGCCAUGCAUGUCUAAGUAUAAGUAUUAUACAGCGAAACUGCGAAUGGCUCAUUAAAACAGUUAUAAUUUAUUUGAUAAUCGAAUUUACAUGGAUAACCGUGGUAAUUCUAGAGCUAAUACAUGCUGGUAGGCCCGACUUUUUGGAAGGGCGGUAUUUAUUAGAUAACAAACCAAUAUUCCUCUGGUCUAUUGUGGUGAAUCAUAAUAACUGAUCGAAUCGCAAGGUUUUUAACCGCGAUAAGUCAUUCAAGUUUCUGCCCCAUCAGCUUUCGAUGGUAGUGUAUUGGACUACCAUGGCUUUUACGGGUAACGGAGGAUUAGGGUUCGAUUCCGGAGAGGGGGCCUGAGAAACGGCUACCACAUCUAAGGAAGGCAGCAGGCGCGUAAAUUACCCAAUCCUGACUCAGGGAGGUAGUGACAAGAAAUAACGGACCGAGGCCUUCGGGCUUCGGGAUUGCAAUGAGCCGAAUUUACACCCCUUAGCGAAGAUCGAUUGGAGGGC
rnacentral:rRNA from 1 species